GACCCCUUAGCUCAGUGGUAGAGCGUGUGAUUCCAGAGCGAUUUGAACUGCAGAUCCGGAUGUCCACAAGGUCAAGCGUUCAACUCGCUUAGGGGUCA